UACGUAGGGUGCAAGCGUUAUCCGGAUUUAUUGGGCGUAAAGAGCGUGUAGGCGGUCAGGUAGGUCUGCUGUGAAAACUCGAGGCUUAACCUCGAGCUGUCGGCGGAAACCAUCUGGCUAGAGUCCGGAAGAGGAGAAUGGAAUUCCCGGUGUAGCGGUGAAAUGCGCAGAUAUCGGGAAGAACACCCGUGGCGAAGGCGGUUCUCUGGGACGGUACUGACGCUGAGACGCGAAAGCGUGGGGAGCGAACAGG
rnacentral:rRNA from 1 species